GAGAAUGUUGGCAUGAGUAGCGAGAUGUGGGUGAGAAUCCCACAGGCCGUAAACCCAAGGUUUCCAGGGGAAGGUUCGUCCGCCCUGGGUUAGUCGGGACCUAAGCUGAGGCCGAAAGGCGUAGGUGAUGGACAACAGGUUGAUAUUCCUGUACUACCGAUAACCGUUUGAGAGAAGGGAUGACACAGUAGGAUAAGCUAAGCACACUGUUGGUUAUGUGUGCCCAAGCAUUGAGGCAGUCAAAGUAGGCAAAUCCGCUUUGAUAAUGCUGGGAUGUGAUGGGGAGCGAAAUUUAGUAGCGAAGUAGCUGAUUUCACACUGUCAAGAAAAGUCUCUAUCGAGGUUAAAGGUACCCGUACCGCAAACCGACACAGGUGGGUGAGGAGAGUAUCCUAAGGCCAGCGAGAGAACUGUUGUUAAGGAACUCGGCAAAAUGACCCCGUAACUUAGGGAUAAGGGGUGCCACCAUCAGGUGGCCGCAGAGAAUAGGCCCAAGCGACUGUUUACCAAAAACAUAGGUUUCUGCUAAGUCGCAAGACGAUGUAUAGGAGCUGACGCCUGCCCGGUGCUGGAAGGUUAAGGGGAUCUGUUAGAGCAAUCGAAGCAGUGAACUUAAGCCCCAGUAAACGGCGGCCGUAACUAUAACGGUCCUAAGGUAGCGAAAUUCCUUGUCGGGUAAGUUCCGACCCGCACGAAAGGCGUAACGAUUUGGGCACUGUCUCAACAACAGACUCGGUGAAAUUGUAAUUCCGGUGAAGAUGCCGGAUACCUGCGACAGGACGGAAAGACCCCAUGGAGCUUUACUGUAGCUUGACAUUGGGUCUUGGUACUACAUGUACAGGAUAGGUGGGAGGCUUUGAAACCAGGACGCCAGUUUUGGCGGAGCCAUCCUUGGGAUACCACCCUUGUAGUACUGGGACUCUAACCAUAGGCCAUGAAUCUGGUCUUGGGACACUGUCAGGUGGGCAGUUUGACUGGGGCGGUCGCCUCCCAAAAGGUAACGGAGGCGCUCAAAGGUUCUCUCAGUACGGUCGGAAAUCGUACGUAGAGUGUAAAGGCAAAAGAGAGCUUGAUUGCAAGACAUACAGGUCGAGCAAGGAUGAAAAUCGGACUUAGUGAUCCGGUGGUUCUGCGUGGAAGGGCCAUCGCUCAACGGAUAAAAGCUACCCUGGGGAUAACAGGCUUAUCUCCCCCAAGAGUCCACAUCGACGGGGAGGUUUGGCACCUCGAUGUCGGCUCAUCACAUCCUGGGGCUGUAGUAGGUCCCAAGGGUUGGGCUGUUCGCCCAUUAAAGUGGUACGCGAGCUGGGUUCAGAACGUCGUGAGACAGUUCGGUCCCUAUCCGUCGCAGGCGUAGGAAAUUUGAGAAGACCUGUCCUUAGUACGAGAGGACCGGGAUGGACGUACCUCUGGUGUACCAGUUGUCCUGCCAAGGGCAUGGCUGGG
rnacentral:rRNA from 1 species